GAUGAACGCUGGCGGCGUGCCUAAUACAUGCAAGUCGAGCGAACAGGCGAGGAGCUUGCUCCUCUGACGUUAGCGGCGGACGGGUGAGUAACACGUGGAUAACCUACCUAUAAGACUGGGAUAACUUCGGGAAACCGGAGCUAAUACCGGAUAAUAUAUUGAACCGCAUGGUUCAAUAGUGAAAGACGGUUUUGCUGUCACUUAUAGAUGGAUCCGCGCCGCAUUAGCUAGUUGGUAAGGUAACGGCUUACCAAGGCGACGAUGCGUAGCCGACCUGAGAGGGUGAUCGGCCACACUGGAACUGAGACACGGUCCAGACUCCUACGGGAGGCAGCAGUAGGGAAUCUUCCGCAAUGGGCGAAAGCCUGACGGAGCAACGCCGCGUGAGUGAUGAAGGUCUUCGGAUCGUAAAACUCUGUUAUUAGGGAAGAACAAAUGUGUAAGUAACUAUGCACGUCUUGACGGUACCUAAUCAGAAAGCCACGGCUAACUACGUG
rnacentral:rRNA from 1 species